GGGGCUGUAGCUCAGCUGGGAGAGCGCGUGAAUGGCAUUCACGAGGUCGUGGGUUCGAUCCCCAUCAGCUCCACCA
rnacentral:tRNA from 1 species